UAGGUGUUCUUUUNUAAAAAAUUUCCUUAUC
rnacentral:piRNA from 1 species